CCUACGGGGGGCAGCAGUGGGGAAUAUUGCACAAUGGGCGAAAGCCUGAUGCAGCAACGCCGCGUGAAGGAAGACGGUUUUCGGAUUGUAAACUUCUGUUCUUAGUGAAGAAUAAGGACGGUAACUAAGGAGCAAGCCACGGCUAACUACGUGCCAGCGGCCGCGGUAAUAAGAAGGUGGCAAGCGUUGUCCGGAAUUACUGGGUGUAAAGGGAGCGUAGGCGGGAAGCCAAGUCAGAUGUGAAAACUACGGGCUUAACCUGUGGACUGCAGUUGAAACUGGCUUGCUUGAGUGAAGUAGAGGCUGGCGGAAUUCCGAGUGUAGCGGUGAAAUGCGUAGAUAUUCGGAGGAACACCGGUGGCGAAGGCAGCCAACUGGGCUUUAACUGACGCUGAGGCUCGAAAGUGUGGGGAGCAAACAGGAUUAGAUACCCGUGUAGUC
rnacentral:rRNA from 1 species